GCCUCCCUCCGCCGCCAUCAGACUCCGUACGGGAGGCGAGCAGUAAGGAAUAUUGGUCAAGUGGGCGCAAGCCUGAACCAGCCAUGCCGCGUGCAGGAAGACGGCCCUACGGGUUGUAAACUGCUUUAUACGGGAAUAAACCUCGGUACGUGUACCGAGCUGAAUGUACUGUAAGAAUAAGGAUCGGCUAACUUCGUGCCAGCAGCCGCGGUAAUAC
rnacentral:rRNA from 1 species